UACGAAGGUCCCAAGCGUUAUCCGGAUUUAUUGGGUUUAAAGGGUGCGUAGGCGGGUUAUUAAGUCAGUGGUGAAAGCCUACAGCUUAACUGGAAAAUGGCCUCCGAUACUGGGCGGCUGGAGGAGGGUAGGGGCGCGCGGAACUUCCGGUGGAGCGGUGAAAUGCGUAGAUAUCGGAAGGAACGCCGGUGGCGAAAGCGGCGCGCUGGACCCUUUCUGACGCUGAUGCGCGAAAGCCAGGGGAGCAAACGGG
rnacentral:rRNA from 1 species